AACUACGUAAGACAUACCUUGCAUGCCACUUACCUUACGUCCACUUUGAACUUGGCUGGGCUCAAAGUCGGAAUGCAAGUUUCCAACCAAGGUAUCACAGGGUACAGCCAUGCCUGACAGUUGUGUUGGGAGCAAACAGUAAACAAUGUCAGCAGCGAAGUAUCUCUCUCCAUCACUCAACCCUACUGUUUUUUUCAGGAAGCACUGAGAACUGGGACAUGUGACAUUGCCUUGAAAAACGAUGAAGCCUUGUUUCCUCCACACUUGCAGUGUGGAGCUUGGUGGCCACAGCUGUGGGGCUGGCAGAAAAACACUUCCUGGGCAGCUGUGCCAAGGAUUAUGCAGAGUUCCCAAAGCCAAGCAUCAUGCUGCCUUUCCCCCCUCACCCCCUGAAGCCCAGCAGCAGCUCAGUUGGAGUGAGACAAGAUUUUCUACUGAACGGCCUCACUUCUUCAAAACCUCACUACUCAGAAACAUGCAUAGUAGAAAAGAUGUAUGCACCUCCAUUCCUCAAUUGCAGCAGAAUUGCACAACAAACACUGCAAGAGGCCAGACUGCUGCUGUGGAUCAGACAGACAAUGACCGGCACAACUUUCUCCAAGGCACCAAACAAGUCUCUGACAGGGCACCAAACUACAAGCCAUCAAGUUUCAAGCUGGGCAUCCAGUGACAGCCUCCAACAUCCUCUCUAUGACAGCAAAUAUGAACUAUAGACAUUGGAUACCAAAAGGUUUUUCUUGCUGGCAGAAAAAAUGCCACAUGACAAUCUUUUCAUAAUUGUGUCAGGUAUCUCUGUCAGAAGACAGUAAAAUUCUUUCCUCAGGUUGUGUUUAAAUUUUAUUUCUGGCCCUGAAACACAGAGGGAAGAGAAAGGCUCAUAAAAAAAAAAACCCAAAAGAUAAAUCCUAUUUCUAACCCAAAUUUGCACUGUAGCUACAGGAUAGUUGCACCAAAACAUAGGAAACCUGGCGUGAAUGGUUGUUCAAGAUUCUAAUUGGAGAUGGAGAAAAGGAAAAUUGAAAAGACAGAGGCAGAGAUCAAGGCACAGCAAAUAGCAAAAUCCUGGGGUCACAUUCUGCACACUGCCAAGGCACAAGAACAGAGCAUCUUUUAGGAGCUGAGCCAGUGACACAGCAAUAUUGCUGAGAUGGACAAAAAAAAGGCCAGGCUGGAUUGGGCUUUGAGCAUCCUGGUCUAGUGGAAGUUGUCCCUGCUCACGGCAGGGGAGUUGGAACUAGAUGAGCUUUAAGGUCCCUUCAACCCAAACCAUUCCAAGAUUCUCCAAUACCUUUGGCCAAAUGCCUUUUAAGGCCUAAAUGGUAUUUUCACGCUUUUUCACUACUGUCCAGAGGCUCACACUCAGCACCAGCCCCAGAGCAGUGGGAUGGGACACAAUGCACCCAAACAUGUCCUCUUCCAAACAGCAGCUCCCCAGAUGGAGCAACAGUAGCUCUCCGUGACAACAAAGUAAGACACAAAACAAGUACUAACAAGAGCAAAGCAGCAAAAAGAUUCUGUAAAAAAAUAAAUCCAUCCAUCCAUCCUACAUCCAAUUUUGUUCUACACAGGAUACCUGUGAAAUAGCAAAUAUUAAAAAUAAUUUAAAAAGCCGAAAUAACAAUCAAAAAAGGGCCAACUCAACCUUUACAGCAGACUAUGAAGUACAGAGCUGCUACCAUGAAUAAGUAGAUUGUAAAUGAAAUAUUUUUUUGUAUCAGCUGAUGAGAGACAUUAUGUAAGUUCAAACAUUGCUUUGCUUGUAAUCUUUUGUCAACAUAAAACUGCUAAAAAAUUAAUUAUUUAAAUAAAGUUUUUGUGACGACAA